rnacentral:sRNA from 1 species
GCGUUCCUAUUGGUCUCUCACAGAUGCCAUCUAUCAGGCUGGGGAGGUUUCUUUUCCUAGUUUGCUGAGAGUUUUAAAUUUCAUGAUGUAGUUUUUCCACUGCAGAAAGCUAAAAGAAAACUAAGCAAAUUAGACCCCAAAACAAUAGAAUUAAAUUGAUUUUCAAAUGUUAAACCAACUCUGCUCCUGAUGUCUUGUUGGGCUUGGUUUGCUGUUUUAUGAAGAAUUCUUGGGUCCACAUUCGUGAGUGAUGUUGGAGGGUUUGCAUUUGUGUAUGAAGCUCAAGAUGUGGGGAGUGGCAGAGAGUAUGCACUAAAGAGGCUACUAUCCAAUGAAGAGGAAAAGAACAGAGCCAUCAUUCAAGAAGUUUGUUUCAUGAAAAAGCUUUCCGGCCACCCGAACAUUGUCCAGUUUUGUUCUGCAGCAUCUAUAGGAAAAGAGGAGUCGGACACGGGGCAGGCUGAGUUCCUCUUGCUCACAGAGCUCUGUAAAGCUGGUGGAAUUUUUGAAGAAAAUGGAAUCUCGAGGUCCCCUGUCGUGUGACACGGUUCUGAAGAUCUUCUACCAGACAUGCCGUGCCGUGCAGCACAUGCACCGGCAGAAGCCGCCCAUCAU